GGAGGGCAAGGAGAAGCUGGGGCCCAAGUGGUACGGAGUGAUGGAGAGAUUCCGUCUUGCCAACCAGCCCGUUCCCCAGAUCCUCCACAUUGACUGGGGAUGCUGCAAGGCACAGGGUCUGACGGAAGUGGAGACUCUGUUCCAGCCUUGGAUGGACAAGGGGGUGGUGGUGGUGAGGCUGUACAUCUUCAUUGGAUUCACCGUUUUGAUGCUGCACUGCGAACCAAGGCCCACUAAAAAUAGGCUGCCUUCAAGUCUGCGCUGGUCGGGGUGUUGCUGGCGUAAAACCGGGAGGACCUCCAGCUCCUCAUUGCAGCUGUCAGGGCCAGAGACCCGGAGGUGGUGACAGACGAGGAUGUGGUCCGGCGUUACAUCUCCUGGGACCAGCUGAAACGCCACGUCCGGCGCGUCACCCUCGGGGCCCAGGAGACGUUUUGCCUCGUCCACCAGGGCUUGACGAGAGUGGCGUCAGCUUCAAGGACCCUACCGCCUUAGAUGAGAUGUGGGCCAGCCCGCAGUGACAACUGGAGUGUGUCCAGGACCCCCCAGGAUCACGUUACCCGCACCACCACCACCACCACCAUCAAUGGUGUGGGCGGACCUGCAUGGGAGCAGCAGCAGCCUGGCGGGGUUCCACAAAUCGUUGCCUCAUAUAAUUCCAGAGAGGUGUGCCCAAGGAUGGGCAACAAAGGAGGCCAAGGCAAGAUGUCCACCCUAACCACAGAUAACAGUGAGCUGAGGGACAAGGCGGCGGCUUAUAACAAAGGUAAUGAUAGCCUUAUGUUGUGCCCGAGACCCUUUGUGCUUGCGGGUUAUUUAUCAAAAGGCCUGAUAAUGUCUGUCUUCAGCUACAAAGAGAAGCCGGUUGCUCACUUCACCGCCAACGGAGGUACAGUGUCUGGGGCUGGUAGAAAACAAUGUUGGAUACAUUAAACAGUAAGCAUGAUGCACUUAACAGAAUGUUUGCUAUGUUCAGUAUGUUUUUCAUGAAUUACGUAUGCUUUCUUUGCUAUAUUUUAGUAUCCUUGUUCGUCACGUGAAGGACAGCGGCCAGCCUGAGAGGAGGGGUAAGGACGAGCGGUGGGUAAAGGAUUACUUACUUCGGUACGUGCAGCUGUUGCCUCCGGUCUCCUGCCAUCAGGACAGGGCCAUCUACAGGCAAGGCCACUUCAGGACGUUCACCUUCCAGGAGAUGUGGCAGUGGUACGGCCUGCACAAGCACCUGCUGGGAGAUCCUGAAGCGCUUCAGGGUGUACACAUUCUUGAGCGAGAGAAACCUCAACAAGACAAGACCCGUCCUACAGCAGCUCCUCCAGCAGCUCCUCCAGCAUGGCCCCCUCCCCUCCAGCACGGCCCCUUCGGCAACCAGAGAGAGGGGUAAAUGGCUAGUGGGUAAAGGACAGCGCCAUCUACAGGCAAGGCCGCUUCAGGUCAUUCACCUUCCAGGAGAUGUGGCAGUGGUACGGCCUGCACAAGUGCUUGCUGGGAGAUCCUGAAGCGCUUCAGGGUGUACAUUCUUGAUCGAGAGGAACCUCAGCAAGACAUGGCCUGUCCUCCAGCACUGCCCCCUCCCCUCCACCACUGCCACCUCC